rnacentral:misc_RNA from 1 species
GCCGUGUUCUCAAGAAUGCACAACUUGAGAUUGCUCAAAUUUUACGGGAGUUCCAGGUUAAAGAAGGAAGGUACUGGCUCCAUAUUUGAAUCUAGCGGAUCAGAUUGUCUAAAAAGUCUUCCUAACAAGUUGAGAUUACUUCAUUGGGAAGAAUACCCUUUCAAGUCUUUGCCAUUAAAUUUUUCCAUGGAAAACCUUGUCCACCUCAACAUGCGAAAUAGCAAAGUUGAAAAGCUCUGGAAUGGAGUUAAGUGUUUGCCAAACUUAAAAUCUCUUGAUCUUGCUUUCUCAAAGCAUCUGAAAAUAGUCCCUGAUUUUUCUAUGAUGACAAGCCUGGAAGAGAUAAAUUUUGAUGGUUGUGAGAGUUUGAUUGAGAUUCCAUCAUCCAUUCAGUGCUUGAAAAGACUCGAUUCUCUUUAUCUAACUGAUUGCAAAAAGUUGAGAAGUCUUCCACAAAUGCCGAGAGGCAUAAAAUUUUUAAAUUUCUCUGAAUCUGGAGUGGAAGAGUGGUCUCCGUCAUC